rnacentral:snoRNA from 1 species
GGGAUGUGAUGAGUGGUCAAUCUCGCAAAUAAAAUAUGCGAGAAGGGUGUCACAGCCCAAAGCCUGGUUACGACAAUCUGGGCGCUCUCACUUUUACCAAUCUGAUCCC